rnacentral:rRNA from 1 species
UGCGGAAUUUUAGAUAAUGGAGGGAACUCUGAUCUAGCGACGCCGCGUGCAGGAAGAAGGUCUUCGGAUUGUAAACUGCUGUGGUAAGGGAAAAAUGCUAUGUAGAGUGGAAAGCUACAUAGAGGGAUGGUACCUUACUAGAAAGCCCCGGCUAACUACGUGCCAGCAGCCGCGGUAAUACGUAGGGGGCGAGCGCUACCCGGAAUCACUGGGCGUAAAGGGAGCGUAGGUGGCCUAACAUGUCAACUGUGAAAACCCGGAGCUCAACUCCGGACGUGCAGUUGAAACUGGUAGGUUUGAGGACGGUAGAGGAAGACGGAACUGCCAGUGUAGGGGUAAAAUCCUGAGAUAUUGGCAGGAACGCCGGUGACGAAGGUGGUUUUCUGGGCCGGUUCUGACACGGAUGCUCGAAAGCCAGGGGAGCGAACGG